rnacentral:rRNA from 1 species
CCUACGGGUGGCAGCAGUGAGGAAUAUUGGUCAAUGGCCGUAAGGCUGAACCAGCCAAGUCGCGUGAAGGAAGAAGGAUCUAUGGUUUGUAAACUUCUUUUAUAGGGGAAUAAAGGUAUCCACGUGUGGAUAUUUGCAUGUACCCUAUGAAUAAGCAUCGGCUAACUCCGUGCAAGCAGCCGCGGUAAUACGGAGGAUGCGAGCGUUAUCCGGAGUGAUUGGGUUUAAAGGGGGCGUAGGUUGUUUUUUAAGUCCGCGGUGAAAGUUUGUGUCUCAACCAUCAGACUGCCGUGGAAACUGGAAGACUUGAGUGUGUUUGAGGUAGGCGGAAUGCGUGGUGUAGCGGUGAAAUGCAUAGAUAUCACGAAGAACUCCGAUUGCGAAGGCAGCUUACUAAGCCAUCACUGACACUGAAGCACGAAAGCGUGGGGAUCAAACAGGAUUAGAUACCCCUGUAGUC